rnacentral:rRNA from 1 species
UACGUAGGGUGCGAGCGUUGUCCGGAAUUACUGGGCGUAAAGAGCUCGUAGGUGGUUUGUCGCGUUGUCCGUGAAAACUCACAACUCAAUUGUGGGCGUGCGGGCGAUACGGGCAGACUGGAGUACUGCAGGGGAGACUGGAAUUCCUGGUGUAGCGGUGGAAUGCGCAGAUAUCAGGAGGAACACCGGUGGCGAAGGCGGGUCUCUGGGCAGUAACUGACGCUGAGGCGCGAAAGCGUGGGGAUCAAACAGG